rnacentral:rRNA from 1 species
AUGACUAUGUCAAAGAUCAUUCUCCUCCUCCUCGUCGCACCCCUUCGCAUGGCCGCCGCAAGGUCGGAUUGUCUCCCCGGGGGGCAGCACAUGGAGGCGUCUUUUGCCUGUAGCAUGAUGUGGUUGUCGAAGCCGCAACAAGAUCUAUGCAUCCGCAUCAUGAUCUGGGGCGGCAUCGACAUGUCCGUGUCGCACAAGGAGGAGGAAACCGGGUACGUGACCCUUGCCGCCUGGUUCGCCGUGGAAUCCUUCGACGUCACACGGAUCGCCGCGAGGAACCAGCUCAGCCAUAACACAUCGCUCUCCGGACAGGAGAGGCACGCCUACGAGGGGUGCAUGAAGGACUACGCGCUAGCGGGCAGACACAUCACCCGCGUCGCCAACGAGAUGCUACCCAGCUGCCGCUUCACGGACCUCAGCUACGAGUACAACCGUGCGCUAAAUAGCAUAGUUACUUGUAUGAAUCGGCUGUCGGUGAACACGCCGUUGUACCCCAUGGUGUUGGCCGACCAGGACAAAGCAGUGCUGGCGUACCAUCUUGCUACUUUGAUAGGUGUAUUGUGA